rnacentral:lncRNA from 1 species
AGUCCCGAGAAUAGAUCAGUUCAGUUAAACAGCUAUGUCUCAUUCCAGGGGGUGGCAUUACAGAUGGACUAGGACUCUAUAUAUGAAGCGGCAAACAGAUUUUUAAUAAAAGGUGUUUCUAUGAAAACAGAAGAAAAACAAAGGUUAAUAUCUACUGUAGACUAUACACUAGUUUUUUGAGAGUCUCUGUAGUUCUUCAGAUUGUAGUGUUAAUCUGACAGAGUCUCCUGGUUGUAGUUUAAAUCAGGUGUUGCAGUGAACUUUCUGAGUAUUCCAUACAUCAACAAAGCAUAAAAGCUGUUUAUAUAUAAGUUGCUGUAGUGAUUUUUCCCAUAGUUUAUUCAAGUUGUCUUGCUCCAGUCUGCAGGGCUUCAAGAAAAGCAUAGUUUUAACUUCUACUUAUUCCAAGUCAGAAACAUAGGAGAAAAAAAUUUAAAUGUUAGCUUGGAGACUUGUAGCCAGGAAAGAAUUCAAGAUUUAGUUCAAAUGUAGGCAAAUAAUUACAACUUAAAAACAAUGGACAAAGCUAGAAUCUAACAACAGGUAUGCUAUCAUUUUCUUCUGAAACAUAAUUCUUCUCUCUCCAGUCCCCCUUUUCUAUUAAAGGCAAAUCAUAACAGGACCAAUUUAUUUGCAAAAUAAGUUUUAGUUUUAUUAUAUUUGGCCUGAUUAUUUGCAUAAAGUACAGCAAAAAUAGUGAUUGACCACAUAUAGGCUCUUUUAAAGUUUGGCUCUAUAAAGUCAACUUCAAAUCCUCAAAGCAG